GUCCACGCCGUAAACGAUGGAUACUAGCUGUUGGGGGCAACCUCAGUGGCUAAGCGAAAGUGAUAAGUAUCCCACCUGGGGAGUACGUUCGCAAGAAUGAAACUCAAAGGAAUUGACGGGGCCCGCACAAGCGGUGGAGCAUGUGGUUUAAUUCGAUGAUACGCGAGGAACCUUACCAAGGCUUAAAUGCAGACUGACCGAUUUGGAAACAGAUCUUUCGCAAGACAGUUUACAAGGUGCUGCAUGGUUGUCGU
rnacentral:rRNA from 1 species